rnacentral:sRNA from 1 species
UAAAACCUAGACAGAUUACUAGUUAAAAAAGAAACUAACAACAACAAAAAAAAAAGUCAGAUCGUGUAACCUGAGCGUGUCAGUGAAGACAGAUACCUAGAUAUCGAUUUGAACCACGCGCAACGCUUGCUCGUACAUAGCUGCAUUGACUACACUAAACAGGAUAGAGUUUAAUGCGACCUGUUUCUCCAGAAUGUUAGAUCACAGUUCUCACCCGAGUCCAACUAAAGACAUAAAACUGGUCUAUAUCAUUCUAUUUUAUUACUAAUGUAUGGAAUUUUUUCUCUAAAGCUUCCCGAAUGCAUGCAUUUCAUGUAUAAUGUAUCAAGGUAUAUUAUAUUUGUCUUCUACUGCAGAUCUGGAUAGACUGGAGUGUUCUUGUUGAUAUUUGUAUCAAUGUUUCCAGUUCACUGAAUUCAGUUUCUAUCCCCAGAUCAACACAAGCAUCAACAACCUAUUAGUUAUCUAUAAGUGUAACACACGUAUUUGAAAACAAAUGUUUUAUUGAGAUAAAACGGAGGAGACGAACAAACUUCCAGGAGACAAUAUAUUUGAUCUGGGCGACAGCUCCCUGGAGAGAUUAGAAGCGGACAGUAACUUAACAUUCGCCUGGCUUAACCUUUGAUUCCGUGUGCCAUACAGGGAGAUUGCUUCAGGAAGAAUUACUUUCUCAACCUUAGUUGUAGAUGAAGUUAGACCGUCUGAGGAAAGGGUUAUAACCUUACCCGGAGUCAAACAGACACCAUAACAGUUGUUAUUGAGAAUCCACAAUGCUCUGUGUUGCCUGAGUUAGACAUAUGAUAAUUUAAACAGUUUUUAUAGAAAUAAGUAAUUCAUUAAACCCAACACUGUCGAAAUGUAAUGCUUUCGUAUUGUACACAUUGAAACAAUUACAAUAUCAAGAUGCUUAAUUGUUUUAAAAAUAAUUAACAAAGGCAAGGUCAGAGAUAUCAGGAGAGAAAAUGUAUGGAGAAAGUAGACAAAAAGGAUAGGGUCAGAGAUAUCAGGAGGUAGAGAACAUAUUUGGAGAAAGUAGACAAAAAGAUAGGGUCAGAGAUAUCAGGAGAGAAAAUGUAUGGAGAAAGUAGACAAAGAGAUAAGGUCAGAGAUAUCAGGAGAUAAAGAAAAUAUAUGGAGAAAGUAGACAAAGAGAUAAGGUCAGAGAUAUCAGGAGAUAAAGAAAAUAUAUGGAGAAAGUAGACAAAGAGAUAAGGUCAGAGAUAUCAGGAGAUAAAGAAAAUAUAUGGAGAAAGUAGACAAAGAGAUAAGGUCAGAGAUAUCAGGAGAUAGAGAAAAUGUAUGGAGAAAGUAGACAAAGAGAUAAGGUCAGAGAUAUCAGGAGAUAAAGAAAAUAUAUGGAGAAAGUAGACAAAGAGAUAAGGUCAGAGAUAUCA